UCCGCGCCUUCACGCACUCUUGGAAGGAUUCUUCUGACGAUCCACCGCAGCUCCAUCGUGACGACCAUCUCGAAGCCAUCCCAGUCUUCAAAACGGUUCCUUUGGUGACACGUUGAGCCAGGCGGUUUCUUCAGCACGAAGAUUAUUCUCAUAGGCCAAGAACGGUAUGUGCUGAUUGAUCAUCUGGACCACCUUAAAGGGAAAAACUUUGUAGUAGUUUGCAAUUGAAAGAAAUUGUUUACGUCACUCGCCCUGGAACUGGAACACGCCAGUCGUUCCAUUAUGCAAUAGAGAUACACGCUUUAGAUCCAGACUCUGACACCAAGAGGACUCCAGGAGAGCACUAAAAUCCGGGAUAUCGUCUGCUUUUUUAGAAACUAUUUGUAUUGUGAAAAAUGUUGUGAGGUAAACAUCGUCCAAGCCUCGACCCUGCUGACCUUCCAGUCUCUGAACCGCUGCCUCUUCCUUUCCAGACUAAGCUCCGGACCAAAUGAACGACAACGCUCGCUCGGCGUUCCGCCGCUUUACAAGCUAGCCGCGGGAGAGUUCAAUUUUCCCGAGAGAUCCCAUUUUGACGCGAUCUAUUCUGAGUUUCCGCAGGUAGCCGGGUCACCUCUACGGGCUGCGGCAUGUCGGCGGAGGAGACGUCGCGGCCGAGGAAACCCUGAAACUGCACCAAGUCUCCGUGUCUCAAGCUGAGAGGAGAACUCGUCGGUCAAAGUCCCUUCCUGACCAAACAUGGCUGCCUCAAGUACACGUGGAGCGUUUUCCGGGAGAAGAAAGGGAGAAAGAAAGGUCAGUAUGCGACCAAGUUUGUCUUCAAAAUGCUAAUCCAUCAGUAUUAUUAAUGCGCAAGUGUCGUUCUAGAUAAGAAUUCAUUAAUAAACAUAUCUCUAGUAUGUACCACUUCACAGAACUGAUAACAUACCCGUCCCGCGAGAGGGUACAUCUUUUUUGCCCUAUGUUUUAUGCGUUAAAUGAAAAACAACCCUAGGUGCGAUUGCACCUUGUUUGUCUCAACGUGCCCUGCGAUUGGCUGGCGACCGGUUCGGGGUGCACCCCGCCUCCUGCCCCGUUGACAGCUGGGAUAGGCUCCGGCGCCCCCCCCCCCCCAAGAACCUCGUGAGGAUAAGCGGCAAAGAAAAUGGAUGGAUGGAUGUAAUUAUCUAGACAAGCAAGCCAGCUACGAAAUUCGCCGUCAACGGCUUUUUACAUCAGCGAGAGUGUACUCGGAAGCGUACUGAGUCCAUCUCUGGUUGUUUUGGUCCACAUCGUGGGGGGUGGGGGAGUGUGAAACCCACCACGGUGCCAUUAAAAACUGACUAAAAAGCGCCGUUACAUAGCUAACUAACCGUGGAGAUGACGAACAGGAAGCGGACCGGCUGUCUUCAGCCGCCGACGGCGAAGUGAUGCGCAGGGGCCGACAUAUGGAAACACUUUGCUUCCCCCGUCAACUACCGCAUAACACGCAUUACACGCAGAUGCCGGCACACACACACCCUCGAUUCGAGCUGCAAACGAAUACGUCGUAAAACAGGUUAGCGGUCGCGUAACACGCCGACGUUAGCUAGUGCCUCAACUUUUGGCAGGCCAGAAACGGCGGGACAAAAUGUCGAUAUUUGCGUCUGAUACUUUAUUGACACAAUAGAUUGGAAUAUGGAUACUGUUAUACAUACAGUGUUGGUAUGCCAAAUAUGAGUGUAGUCAUUGGUGUUAAGGA